UCGGGCGCGCGCCCCUCUGUGGCCGGAGUGGCCUAGCCCAAAAUGGCGGCGUGGCCCUGAGGCGGCGCUCGGCUCCUUCGCGAGGGUACAAAACUCUUGUGUUUUAGCGCAGAUGUGGCGCGAGCUCGUCGAGGGAAGUAACAACAAAGAUUACUGAGGAGUUACCAUGGAGACUGAAACAGUCCAAGUCCAGCAAAAGGCAAACGUGUAGUCAAACCCCAGUAUAUGCGUAUACAUAAACAGGACCUAGUGGAUUAUUUCUAUUAAAUUAAAUUAUCAGGAGAUAUUAUAUGCUUAUUAUCCCAUGGCAGCUAGGGUUGGGAUCAGAUGAACUUUAAGGCCCACAAGUUUCUAUGAUCUACUGGCGAAAUGCUUUUAAUGACGCUAAAAGAUCAUUUAAAUUUACAGCAAAAUUAUACAGUCAGGCCCAAAAGUGACACCAGAUGGCGCCAGGCACCACAGGCAGAGCCAGCCUGAGAAAUACCUUGACUCCCAGGUGGUGAGGUCCCACUUGAUCUAAGAGGGAAUAAAGCUCCUCUGUGGCUGACUGACCUUCCACUCAAGCAUGGCUAUGUUGCAUUUUCUUAUACUGAGGUUAGAGGCCUCCAUGUGAAAAGAAUCCCACUUCAUAGGCUUGGUGCAAAUGGAACAGAAAAAACCACUACACAAAGUGUUGAGAGUUCAAGAAGAACAUUCUUCUAACUUGUCCUCCAUCUGAUUUGUUUAGCUUGUUUUCCCAAAUAAAUAGCAAAGAGAGUGUGUAUGUAUUUGUAUUUAUUGCACAACUUCAGAAACAAGUACAUAGACCUCUUAAACAUUUGGCUUCUAUAUGUAUUGGGACAGUUGGCACUUUGGUAAUGGAAAUUGGGUUCUGAUGAAGGGACAAGGAUGAUAGGUACAAUGUUAACUCAUCUCUUAUCAAACAACGGGAAUCUUCAUAGGCACAGGUUAGGACAAAUAUUUCAUCCAUGUGAAAAGCUUUCUUCAGAGGUAACACCAGAAAACUGAGGCUCAAGGCAAACAGUCUUCAUCCAUUCAGUCACUAACAUUCCUUCCCCUCUCCAGAAGUUCUGAGAGAAGGGAAAAUCCCAAAGAGAAGCAUUGGCAUUAUAUGUUCAACUCUAAAGUCAGCUCUUGUACAUGUGGAACGUUAAUAUGAAGCAUAGAAGUGGCCUGUUCAGAACCACUAGGAGUAUUUGCUGUGAUCCUGUGUAUGGAAGCAUCCCUUUUAGCUGUCAGAAAAGUGAUUGGGAAGCAGUACUUGUGCAGGCAGCUCCAUAAUGACACUAUGGGAUUAUAACAGGUCCUGCAUUCAGAUGGGCUCAUUGUCUAAGCUUUAUUUACAGACUGUCAGGCACUGAGUAUGUGAGAUAAUAAAUUUAAUAGUACAGUGACACAACAAGUAUUAACCAAAUUUAUCAUCUAUGCAAAUGCAAGUGUCUUACAGGAUCUAGGCAAUCUGAAAUGUCUGAAAGUUUGUGAUUCUAAAUGAGCUAUCUAUUUCACUUUACAAGCCUGAGCAUCUAGUAAAUGCUCAGAGCUAUAACCAAAUUGUGGUCUCAGUUGAUUUUUCCAGAUCUUUUGGUUGAUGUUAAUUUGGCUUGGGCUUUUUCCCCUUUUUCCUUUCACACUACAGAUGAUUAGCUCCUGUUUUCUAUAAUUUACUUGUCUCCUGAAUUUCCUGUUCUUUUCUACAUGAAAGGCUGCAUGCAGUAGGAGGUAGAAAUGAGAUGUUAACAGGACAGAGUGUUGGAAAUGUGGAGAUGUAUGCGUAUAGUUUAAUCUUUGGAUAUGAGACUGGCACUUGAGCAACAAAGGGAAAAAAGCCUCUUUUGGUUAUUGAGUGUGGGGAUUUUAGUUUGAGUGUGGGGAUUAGAUAAUGUUUUGAAAUGCACUCUGAGUGAGAAAAAUCUGAGGACGGGGGGUGACUGGUGCAGCAUGACGGGUUAUAUUCCUGCCUCUAGGAAAGUAGUAAGUGGGAGUCAAGGCAGUGCACUACUGAUGCCGAAGUAUGAAAAGUUUGUGAACACUAGAGGAACAGCACCUGACCCAAAGCAAGUCUUUCCCAACUGUGCUUCUGGAUUAUCACUCAGGAGCAUCUUUAGUUAACUUCAGUUUAGUCGUGGCAUGUCCAAAAGAACUCUUGUCUGUCCAAGGGAAGCUCAUUUUGGUUAGGAUUGGGGUUGUUUCCAAAAGCUUUUUUACAUCUUGUCAAUGAAGUUUGAGUUUCCUCUAUAUGUCACUGGCAAAUAUGAGGUGUGUCCUUCUGCAACAUGCUCACAUAUGCUGGAGAUACUAUCAGAGGGAUUUGGUUUGUUUGGGUUUUUUUCUUUAAUGCACUAAAGUUAGUAGAAUUUGGAAUACUGCUGGCAUGGGGCUUUGGAAAUGCUUUUCUGCAUCUAUUAUUUUUGCACUUGUAAGACUAUACAUUGUGGUAGCUUUUGAAAAAGAUGUAAAUUUCUGCCCUUCCCAGGGAAGAAAGCCAGUGUCUCCUGAUGGGACUGUACAAAAUCAGCAAGCACAAUGGGCUGUGAACUGUUGGUGAACUCUAAGGAAGCAUUUAAACAAAACAGGAAAAGGGUCCUCAAUCACUGGAGCCAUGAGCAUGAGAAGAAAGUGCAAGUGAUGGUGUGGCCCACACUGGACUUGUAUCUUUCCUGUUUUCUCAGUUUUAGCAGUUUAAAAGGUUUAACUGUAGCCCCCAACAACUCAUGGAAGUGGAGAACCACUGGAAUGAGGACAUGUUCUUUAGGUCACCUUGAACGUGUUCUCAACAGCAGAACCAAAGACAGAUGUAAGCCAGCAAAAUAUGGCACAUAUAGGAUUCAUAUAUGUCCAGGUCACUUUAUAUGAAUUUAUAUGUAUGAGUUAUGUGUCCAUGUCAGUAUGAUUUACAUUCAUCAUAUGAAAAAUAGCUACACUGUUUUAAAAAAAUAAUUAAUUACAGCAAUGCAAAAUAUGUGGUAAGAUGGCUCACUUUGCUAUAAACAUACUCCCAGAAUUGUUGUAGGUACACCUGAUUAAAAAAUCACAAACAGCUAUAAGCAGAAACUCUUUUAGCAUGAAGCUGUAGGUGGAGAAAACCUCACUGCAACUUAAUCCUUAUCCAAGUCUCAAUCCAAACCCUAAUAAACUGUGAGGUCACCCAAAUUCUUCAGAGAACAAUCUUUCAGGAUUUCCUUACACAUAAAGCUCUUUACACAUAAAGUUGGAAUAAUUUUAACUACGCUAAAGCAAUCACCUAAGUAUAUAUAUCUCCAUGUGUCUGUAUUGAAAGAGUUUGCAUGAGCAUUUUCUCCAUGAAGAUGAUUGCCAUAGUAAAAGGCAAGGGAGCUGUGUCUCUGUCCACAGCUGAGUUUUGACUAGCAGAAGUUAUUCAGUUUGAAAAAAAUCUGUUCCUACUGACAUAAUUAUACUGGCACAGGAUUUUGUCAUCUUUUGUCUUGGCCACAUAGAUUUUUUUGUGCCUUUAAAUUCUUUAUUCAUUGAUGAAAUGCUUUCCUCGGCUUAUGAGCUUAUACAGAGCCUGUCCCCAACAUGCUACAUGACAAGCAAGCAAACUUGGCAGCCAGACCUGUUCUUACUUUCCUGCAGCAUACACAUUCAUCAGAGCUUGGGAUAGAAAACUUUUUGAGAUGUAUAUAAAGUAUGAUGUACCUUUCUUGCAGGUGGUUUUCUUGCAGUUUCAAAAAACCCUAUAGUUAUCCUGUUUUCAUGGCUGGUACAGAAGAGCUUGCUGUGCUCUCAGGGUGACAGGCAGCCAUCUAAGCAGCACUCCAUUGGGGCUGAUGCAAGUUCAGGAAUCCUUGAGUGGCCGUGCACGGGCUGGUCAUCUGCCAGGCAUUGUUACCCUCUUUUGGAAGGGUUUUGAGCUCUUCUAGCUGAAUUCUUUCUGAUCUCUAAAAGAUCAGAAAUACCAAUAAGCCUCAGGCAGUGCUUAUUAAUCCUUCUUUUCUUUAUAAAAUCAAAAUACUGAAGCAUAAACUGCAUAGGUUGUCAGGUGAGUGAGGGAGUAGAGGUGAACCAUGCCUUCCCCAUCCCUGCUGCUGCUGUGAAUUGGGAUUGCCACCAAGAGAGGCAGUUUGAUGCCUUCUCUUCCUGGCUUCUUUUUUCCAACUUCUUCACUGUCUUGUGCCACUGUGAAAAGGUAGGAAAAAGAAUGGUGAUCCAGACUAAGGAAUUGGUUUAGGCUAAGACUUAAAUACUGUUGUUAACUUCCUGAGUUUGUUUAAGUCCAUCUUAGUUCCUGGCUUCCUUAUUCUGUUC